ensembl:lncRNA
UAACUGUGGCAUCACUGGGUCAUGGUUCCGACUGUCUCGUCUCUUGUGGUUUUUAUUCCUUUUCCCCUUUUGUGAGCCUGGUUCCCCAAACUCCUGUUUGGGGAAAAUUAACUAUUUCAUUUGGGGAGAUAAAAGCAUAAAAUAAUACCUAUCACUGGGUAGGUUAACUACAAAAUAGUUCGUUCACGUGGUUGACAUCAUGGGUUCUGUUUGCCUGACAAAUGGGAUAUUUUAGUUUUGGACGACGUGUAGGCGUAUGCGCAGGAUGGGCUCUUCGACUGUGCACCUCAGGCAAGUCUGUCAUGGUGACAACACUAGGGAUCUAUGAUGUGUCAGGGAUCUACCUAUGACUCUGCACAGUCACUUAGCCCUUACUCUAGGCUCAUCUUUAAGGUGAAGAGGUGGGUCUAGACCCCAUAAUUUCUGCUUCUCUCCAGAUUGCCAUAUUGUGUGACUCAGGAGAGACUGGCUGUUCCUUACUCAUUUCAGUUAACCAUCCUUGUGAGAUUAGUUACCAAUUACCAAGUGCUUGGUUUUUGGCUCACUCUGGGCAAAGUCCUGGGGAGGCUGACGUGUGAAAUAAGAUGUCUAAAGUAACCAGAAUCAAUUUAAAAAAUAAGAAUAAUAAAAAGUAACCAGUACCAGGAUGAGAAGCAGGAAGUCCCAUUUGGCUGGUUUUGAGCCAGGAAGCAUCAUUUCAGAGACCAGGGGACCACCUCUACUCCCACAGGACUUGGGUCAUGGAAGCCACACAAAAUGCCUAUAACAGCUUGACCCAGACGACAGAUCUAGGACGUCAGCAAUGCAGUUUACAGAAUGGCUGCCAAGUGCUUUCAUUUAUGUAUUUGAUGAGAUGAAUCUUUAUUUUUCUUUUGACAUAAAGACCAACUGACUGGGGCGCCAUAUGCUGAGUCAUGCCUUGUGCUUUGCAGGUUCUUAUGAGUGCGUCGUUCCUGGGGGCCCUGUGUCUUUUCUCAUCUGUCUGUAUUGUGUGUGCCAUUUCUGCUUUUACUCUGCCCAUUGAGACCAAAGGACGGGCCUUACAAGUAAGUGAUCAAGUAUUCUCAAAGUAACACCUUUUGACCAAAGGAAAUGCACUUGAUGUAGGGAAAUUGUUUUCAACAGACAUACUGAUGCCCCAGUCUGCUAACAUACAUUUGCUCAGUGGGUGCCGAUGGACACACUGAGUAUCCAGUGCUGCUACAUGUACCUUUGAGCAGCACUGAAGGUAAAGAAGCUGAUUAUUCAAUUCAAACCUUGAUUGCUGUAAAAGGUGUAGCUUGAACUGGGACUGGAGAGAAUGAUACUGCAGACACCUCAGCCUCUUAUCCUCCCCGCUUUUUAAGAGUUGCUGCGAAAAGUGGCCAGAUGAGCAGAAACUAUUUGCAUGGCCAUUCGGAACACAGGUUCAUCAGCUGCCUGUGCUAAGAGUGGAGUCACAAACUUCAGUGUUGCACCAGUGGCCAUCCAAUACUAAUAGUCAGUAGAUACAAAGCUAGGAAGUACAGAAAAAAAGAUACCCCAAAAGUAGAAGGUAAGCUCCCAGGGGCAAAGUUCUCUCAGAGAGGGCCUCUCCUCGCCCUCUGCCCUUCUGGUCGGCUUCAUCUGUAAGGAUAGGUGGUAGCUAUGUUGGUUCCCUGCCUUGAGCACAAGGCUUGCUGCAGGUAGGUGCGUGCACAUGGAAAGGGGAAGGGCAGUCCGGAUUAGGUGUUUAUGGUUGUAGGCUGAACAGGGGGCUUAGAGGGGGCUUAGAAGCAAUAAGCCUCCAGGCUGUCAAAAAUCCCAGUUCAACUUACACUAAGCCUUCCGUAUCUGCAGUUGCGGAUUCAACCAACCAUGGAUUACAGUUGCAAAAAAAAAACCCACAUAAAAGUGGACCUGCACGUUCAAACCUAUGCUGUUCAAGGAUUAACUGUAGUUUGGUUCAUCUGAGCUGCCACAUCUUAAUGAGGCUGUGAAGUCAACAUGCUUCUGUUGGUAAAUGUGGCCUGCCUUUCUCUGCUGUCCUAUUUAUAGUGAACUAUAGACACAUGUUAAUAUUUCUGUUGGCAAAGAUCAGUUAGGUGUGUUUCGUUGUCUGCGAGAAGAUGGAAGUUCCUCUUAUGUCAUCAUGAAUUUAGGGGCUUUUUUUUAAAAGAUUCCUUACUUGGAACCUACAUAAACAUUUUUUUUUUUUCUUUGAAGACUAAAAGCAAUCAUUGGAAUCAUCACCCACUGAUCACCCAUCACCCAUUGAUGAUUCCAAAGAUUCCUUUUAGUCUUAAAUAAAAGGACUGAUCCAUCCUCCACCCAGAUGAGGAAACAAAGGCAAAAGAAAGUUGAGUGACUUGUAAAGGAAAACACUAAGAUAGGGUGUGACUGGAAUUUAAACUUAUUGCAAAAUUAAGUGAUGCUAAACCUUAUGCUAAUUUUCCAUAGUGGUUUUGUUUUAAAGGUAGUAAGAAUACAUAUAAAAUGAAACCAGGCUUACCAGCUAACCUGCUUUAUGGAUUUGCCAUUCAAGCCAUCUCCACAUUCCCUCUCCUUUUUUUCACUAGGACUUGGAAUUAGUAUUGUAGUGAAAUAAUUUUGCAGGUCUGUUGACGAGACGCACUGCUUCCGGUACCUUACAACUUCAACCUGUGGAUCCAGUAAAUACAGUUCUUUGGGCAUAUAGGCCUUGAUGGCUCUGCCUGCCAAUGUCUUUGGGCAAAUCUUAAAAGGGUGUACAGGUAUAUAUCUCAGUGUCGCGAGCACUUAACAUAGCAAACUACCUGGUUUCUGAUGUAUAUCCCCAAUAAUGUGUUUUUUUUGUUUUUGUUUUUUUCAGGGCCGCACCCACAGCAUAUGGAGGUUCCCAGGCUAUGGGUCCAAUUGGAGCUACAACUGCUGGCCUACACCAUAGCCAUAGCAACGUGGGAUCCAAGCCAUGUCUAUGACCUACAGCACAGCUCAGGGCAACGCAGGAUCCUUAACCCAGUGAGUGUAGCCAGGGAUCAAACCUGCGUCCUCCUGGCUGCCAGUCAGAUUUCGUUUGCACUGCACCACAACGGGAACUCCAGUAUCCCCCAUAAUGGGAAUGAACCAAUCUGGUCAAUAGUUUAAGAGUAGUUAAGUACACUUCAGAAUUACUCUAAGGAACUUGUAUUUUGAUCAAACAAUUGCACGAGAAUAACUGAGUCAUAAAGGUACCUUUGCACUGUCAGGUACACAAGGGUAACUGCUAGGAUCUUCAUUCCUUCUCAGCUUAUUAUUAAAGAACCUUCUAGCACUAGUUUUUAGUGCCAAAGAGCUGAAUGUAAAUGGAGAAAAAUUAAAUUGUAUUAAUUAAAUUACUUCUUGUUCCAGCAAAUUAAAUGAAGACCUGCAAACCUACAUCUACCAGAGAAGAAAAAUGCAUUUUUAUCUUCACAGAGAGCUGAAGAACAUUUUUUUAAAACCUGAUUUAAUUUCUAUAUGCUAUUCGUUAAUUAAGAAAUUAUGUAUUUUGACACAUCAGACAUGAGAAAAGAAUAAGUUAGUUAGAAGAGAUCGAUACUUUUAUAAAAUAAUUAAGGUUGGAAGGGUGUAUCUGGGAGAUGGGUGGAGGAGGGUGGCUUUUUCUGAAAUUUGUUAAUGUUUAUACAAAUAACAAAUCUCAGACAAAACAUAUUUGACAUUCUCCCAUGAGGUUUAUAGCACAACUUGGACUGAAAUUUUGCAGCUAAGACAUGAAUUGAGGUGGUAUUAUUAAACGUUUCAAAACAAACAGAAAUCAUCAAAUUCACAAUUAAAAUUAGCAUAAAUUGCAACCUCCAUGGUUUAAGCGUUUUUCAUUAAUAUUCAUAAAAUAAUAUGCUUAAAUUCAUUUGAGUCUUGUAUGUAAUAACCAUAGAAAGUGAGAAUAAAGUAAUCCACAUUCUGUUUCUACUGUAAUUUCAUAGGGGCACUAUGAUUCCCAUGAUGCAAUUUAAAAAAACACAAUCAGAGUACAGCAAGCUUUCCCACAUCAUGUAAUCAUAUGCCCUUUGUGAAGCGACUGUGUGCAUGCACGGUCAUACCUGUGCACACAGGAAUGCUGUGGAAGGAAAACCCCCAAGCUUUGACACUGAGAUUUAGUUUUCCUCCUCAGGCUUCUGUGCAGACUUCUGAAACUGGAAUCCCCAAAGACCUGACUAAACUCCGUUUUGCAGUGGAAAAGGAAAAACUUGCUUGCUACCACAAUGAAAUGCCUUAGCCCAGCAAACUAUGUGUAUGACAGCGUUUAUACCACUGCUUCAACAUGGGUACAAAUCAUUCCCACUUGAAACACAGGCACAAAUGGCUUGAAGUCAGGAAAGCUUUUCUAGAAAGGGCCUAAGAGGAAAGAAACAUUUUAGACUUUGAGCUACAUACGGUCUGUCACAGCCUCAGCUACUUCCCUCCAUGCCAGCCUUUAAAAAUGUAAAAAAAAUAGUAGCUCUCAGGCUAAGGAGGCCAUAGGUUGAAUUUCGUUCACAGGUCCUAAUUUUGCUGAAAUAAGUUUCGAGGCCCAAGAUGGAGCCAGUCCUGUCCAGGUGCCACCUUUGCAAACGACAGCUACAUAGAUUUCACAGCCCUGUAAAUGCUCUGCUUGACCAGAACCACAGAAAAUCCAGUUGGCAAAACAGCAAGUCAGCUCUGGGCUCUGUACUCACCUCCUUGGUUCUUAUUUACCCUCCUGCCUUCAGCCCCGUGUUGCAGUUCUUCGGGCCCUUGCACAUGCAGACUGCCUGCUUCAGGAAGUGUCAGCGUUUGUCUGGGUUCCCUAAAUUGUCUUCUUUGGUCAUCUUUAACAGUCUUUGGUGAGAAGUCGGGAUCCAAAGCUGACUGUGCAUGGCCUGCAGGAAAAGACACCCAGGCAAGGAACACUACUCUGAACCCUCUGUGUUCCCUGGGACUCUCACGGGAAUCGAGGGCAAGGUUCACGUUUGGAUUUGAGCUGUUAGCAUCCACACAGCUCUGAUCCAAACGAAUAGAUACACUUCCCCCCGAAGUUCCAUGGUAAUAACACUGGGACCCCACAAUGAGUGGCAGUAGUUAGGGGAUGCAAAAACAAGGCCACAGCAUCAAGUGCUGGCAGACUUGGAGAACUAAGACACAAGAAAUUAGAACUGUUCAAAUUAAUGGCACAACAAAAGCUAAGAAGAAUGAGGCAGACUAUCGGAAGUCACUAGGCUGUCUGUCACUUCUACAAAGAAAUGUUCUCAUUUAAGGAUUAAAUAGAUCAACUGCUAAUGGGAAUCUGGAAGCCAAAGCUGCAAGACUGGUGGGCAUAGUUAAAGCACUCCAAAGAUUUAAGAACAUGUGCCACCGAAAUCUAAGGCUCCUGUGCUGAGCUGGUCAUGGAAUGGGUUAGACUGACACUGGACCACCU